AUCAACCGCAUCAGCUGCAAUAC
rnacentral:snRNA from 1 species